CAAUGGAGCAAUUCGACUAUGACUUUUUGAGACCUGAGAACAAUCGACUGGAAAAUGCCUGGGUGCUUUUCAAGACUGGCGGAGAGAGUGCGUGGACGUCGGCGGCCUACUGCGUCGACAGGUUGUUCAAAUUCAUUUGUGGCUUGUUUUUCUUGUCUUUUUCUGUUUUGCAGGGUUCGUGAUCGUCGACAGGUGGACAGCGACUUCGAAGAGGAAACAACUGUCCUGGAUGAGGUCCAGUUGGAUGUGCCAUUGGAUGAUGUGCUAGAUGUUCCACAGCUGCCAGUCCUCCUUGAUGUCCAGAAUGCUGCUAUCAUCCUUGAGGAUGUGCCAGAUGUGCAGACUAUCCUUGAGGUACAAUUUUCUGAAAGUUUGGGGUUUUAUGUUUGAAAAAUAUCCCAGAUAUUCAAGUUGUGUCUCUUUAACAUGAAACACAUCUCUUGUCUGCUUUCUGCUUUAGGAGGCCACUGGCAUUUGGCAGUUGAUUCCGAUUAGGUUCAGCCCCCAGUACUGUGGGCCUGUUGUGAACAUGGUAAGAGCCCCCCCCCCCCCACACACACACACACACAGUCACAUCACUGUUACAAUGUUUACUGUUUCCAACAUGGAUGUAUUGUAAUGUGCAGAACAAUGCCGGUCCGGUGGUUAAAGCUUGGAGAACUUUCCAGUUCAUCAG
rnacentral:lncRNA from 1 species